rnacentral:tRNA from 1 species
CUAUUUUGGCAGAAAAAUGUAGUGAUUUUAGAAUUCAUAAAUAUAUAUGAUUAUAUAUAUAUAAAUAGUA